rnacentral:piRNA from 1 species
UUAUACGUUUAUCUUUUAUAC